rnacentral:rRNA from 1 species
GAUGAACGCUGGCGGCGUGCCUAAUACAUGCGAGUCGAGCGAACGGACGAGAAGCUUGCUUCUCUGAUGUUAGCGGCGGACGGGUGAGUAACACGUGGAUAACCUACCUAUAAGACUGGGAUAACUUCGGGAAACCGUAGCUAAUACCGGAUAAUAUUUUGAACCGCAUGGUUCAAAAGUGAAAGACGGUCUUGCUGUCACUUAUAGAUGGAUCCGCGCUGCAUUAGCUAGUUGGUAAGGUAACGGCUUACCAAGGCAACGAUGCAUAGCCGACCUGAGAGGGUGAUCGGCCACACUGGAACUGAGACACGGUCCAGACUCCUACGGGAGGCAGCAGUAGGGAAUCUUCCGCAAUGGGCGAAAGCCUGACGGAGCAACGCCGCGUGAGUGAUGAAGGUCUUCGGAUCGUAAAACUCUGUUAUUAGGGAAGAACAUAUGUGUAAGUAACUGUGCACAUCCUGACGGUACCUAAUCAGAAAGCCACGGCUAACUACGUG